rnacentral:rRNA from 1 species
AGCAGUAGCCGCGGUAAAACGAAGGGUGCAAGCGUUACUCGGAAUUACUGGGCGUAAAGCGUGCGUAGGUGGUGGUUUAAGUCCGUUGUGAAAGCCCUGGGCUCAACCUGGGAAUUGCAGUGGAUACUGGGUCACUAGAGUGUGGUAGAGGAUAGUGGAAUUUCCGGUGUAGCAGUGAAAUGCGUAGAGAUCGGAAGGAACAUCUGUGGCGAAGGCGACUAUCUGGGCCAACACUGACACUGAGGCACGAAAGCGUGGGGAGCAAACAGGAUUAGAUACCCGGGUAGUCCCUGUCUCUUAUAC